GGGAGAAGGAGGAGGCGUCAGUGAUCGUAGGGGAGAGGAACGUGACUCACCUUACGUAACGCUAGUGUGGUGGGAUUUGUUGGUGAUUUUGUGUGUUUGAGCUACGAGAUAAUUCACUUUGUAAUUACGUAACUUCUACAUAUCUAACUUAACCCGGUAGCAGCGACGGGCCAAGUUUUUCCCAUGAUAUAAAACCCCGAAAUAGAUGAUGCGUAAACUGGUCACAAAUGCGUUGAUAUAUAUUAUGAAAUGGUUUGUGUGAGGGAUGAUUUUUUUCUCAUUUUUCUUGCUUAGAGGGACCUUUAAGAAACAUGAUCCCCGCGGCUACUGGGUUAACGGAACUGACUUUGGACUCGAUAUUUUCCGCUGGCACUCUGGUGGUUUGUUUCUGUCUUAGCGCUGCAUUACAAGUUGAAUUUGAGAAGUUUCAGGUCCCUACAAAGAUCGGUUUAGGGGGCGUAUUACAGGUCCAAUCCGAGAAGUUUCAGGUCCCUACAAAGAUCGGUUUAGGGGGGGCGUAUUACAGGUCCAAUCCGUGAAGUUUCAGGUCCCUACAAAGAUCGGUUUAGGGGGCGUAUUACAGGUCCAAUCCGAGAAGUUUCAGGUCCCUACAGUUACUCAUCCCGAAUUCUGUAGGGACCUGAAACUUCUUGGAAUGGAUUUGUAUUGAUGUCCCUAAACUGACCAUUGUAGGGACCCGAAACUUCUCGGAUUUGACUUGUAAUACAGCCCUUAACCUUUAUGAAAUUCACUCCCAAGCUCACUUCAUCAUCCUCAAAGUACAUUCAUAUCACAUUCCAGUGAGAGCACAGGAGAGGCUUGACAGGUAUAAAUAGAAUCCAAGCUCACUUCAUCAUCCUCAAAGUACAUUCAUAUCACAUUCCAGUGAGAGCACAGGAGAGGCUUGACAGGUAUAAACAGAAUCCAAGCUCACUUCAUCAUCCUCAAAGUACAUUCAUAUCACAUUCCAGUGAGAGCACAGGAGAGGUUUGACAGGUAUAAACAGAAUCCAAGCUCACUUCAUCAUCCUCAAAGUACAUUCAUAUCACAUUCCAGUGAGAGCACAGGAGAGGUUUGACAGGUAUAAACAGAAUCCAAGCUCACUCCAUCAUCCUCAAAGUACAUUCAUAUCACAUUGCAGUGAGAGCACAGGAGAGGUUUGACAGGUAUAAACAGAAUCCAAGCUCACUUCAUCAUCCUCAAAGUACAUUCAUAUCACAUUCCAGUGAGAGCACAGGAGAGGUUUGACAGGUAUAAACAGAAUCCAAGCUCACUUCAUCAUCCUCAAAGUACAUUCAUAUCACAUUGCAGUGAGAGCAAA